rnacentral:rRNA from 1 species
AUGGGCAUCGAAACCAGUAAGCAUGCCAAUGCUUUCCUGCCAAACACUAUGGAUUUCGGUGAACUAGAGAACAUGCUACAAGAGCCAAGUGCCACACCAGUUUGCCUGCCGGUAGAGUUUCUGAAAGGCAUCACACGCGAUUUUUCCGUGGAGCAGGAACUGGGAAGAGGUGGGUUUGGUGUGGUUUACAAGGGGAUACUUCAAAACGGGAAAAUGAUUGCCGUGAAGAAGCUUUUCGACAUACAAGUAGAGGAUGAUCAAUUCCAGAACGAGGUCACCUACCUUAUUGGGGUUAAGCACCAAAACGUAGUACAGCUUGUAGGCUACUGCGCCGAAUCACGGUGGGAAGCGGCACAAGUAGGCGGGAGAUAUGUCAUGGCUGAGAUACGGAGCAGAUUGCUCUGCUUCGAGUAUCUAAACAACAACAGCCUUGCUAAGCAUAUUUCUGCUGAAUCUUGUGGACUUGAGUGGCACAUAAGAUGUAACAUAAUUAAGGGGGUUUGCAGCGGCUUGCAUUGCCUUCACGCGGAGUGCCGCAUUGUUCAUUUGGAUCUUAAGCCCCAAAAUAUAUUGCUGGAUGAUAAUAUGGUCCCCAAGCUUGCAGAUUUUGGCAUGUCUAGGCUCUUUGGUCAACAAGAGUCUCGAGUUAUCACCGAAAGCCGUGGGGGUACACUUGGAUACAUGGCACCAGAGUACAUAACAAAUGGAGUAAUCUCAACCAAGUCAGAUAUAUUCAGUUUGGGCAUUAUAAUCAUUGAGCUAAUGACGGGAAGCAGAGAAUAUCCCCAUAGUAGUGAAGCACUGUCUGAGCACUUCAUUGAGAAUGUGGUUGGAAAUUGGAGGCACAUAUUGGAAAAAACAAUGGGGCAUAAAACGCAGGAAAUAUGUUCCCAACAAGUAAACAGAUGCAUUGCAUUAGGACUUAAGUGUCUUAAUCCAGAUCCCGAUGAAAGGCCCUCUGCAUGGGAUAUGUUGCAAACUCUGAAUGAAUUGGAAAGCACAAAUGGUUGUUUUGACAAGAAUGAUGGACCAGCAGUAGUAACUUACGAAUCAGAAGUAGACACAAUUUUAGGGCGGGGCGAUGUAAAUUCCAGCAAUUUAGCCGCAAAAUUCGACAGGAUAUUGAGUAGAGCAUUCGCCCCAGGUUCUGCAAAUAUGAGCGCCGUUUUCCGCUCUGCUCCCAAAGGAAGAAGGAUAUUGAUCCAAGCUUUUGAGGUUGCCAACACAAUUGUCAUGGCCUCUAAUCUGAUAAAAUCCCUCUCUAAGCAAAGAAUAAGGCACCUGAAAGAGGGCGUGCUUAGGUCGGAAGGUGUUCGCUGUCUUAUUUUGGAAGAUUACAGUCAGCUGUCCCUUAUCAUUGAAGACGACAUACGAGAAGAGUUGAGACGAUUUUGUAUAGAGGUUGCCCGGUUUGGAGAUCUGUGUGAAGAUCCUCAAUGGCACAAUCUCGAUAGGUAUUUCUGUAGAUGCGGUUCUGCACUGACAGUGACAUCUAAGAACAACUCCAGUGAAGAAGCACCUCCCAGUUUGCAGUAUCUGAUAAAAUUGGCACAAAAUACAUGGGUUCUGCGCCAAGAAAUGCUAGCACUGGACAGACUUGAGCACGCUCAUUAUUUAGCAGCUGUUCCUGUUAAGAAACAAAUUGAUGCUAUCAAGAGCCAAAGGGGUGCGGUGAAGGUCUUAAAAAGGAAAUCGCUAUGGUCAAAGAUUAUGGAAGAUAUUGUAGAGAAACUUGUAGGGAUCGUGGACUUCAUCCAUCUUGAGAUCAACAGAGCUUUCUUGGAGAACCAUGCCGAGCAAUCAUCUGGAGAACUUCGUGUGGCUAAAAACCUCGCCAGAACGUUAGGGCCUGCUGGACUCGCGUUGCAUUACGCCAAUGUCAUUUUGCAGCUAAAAACUUUGGCAUUGACAUCACCAGCGGUUCCUCAGAAUGCUCGGGAGGCAUUGUACCAAGCACUGCCUCCUAGGAUCAAACCAGUCCUGCAUACCCAACUGCGGCGGCGUUUUCCCCUCAGAGAAAAGCAGACCAUGACGGUUGCAGAGGUGAGAGCUGAAAUGGACAGGGUAUUGCGAUGGCUUGUGCCAGCUGCGGAAUCCACGAGGCUUUACCUCGGAGAAUGGGCGAGGAGAGGGUACGCACCCUGUAAAUCUGAUGGAGUGUGUCGAUGCCGACGAAGCGAACUGGUUCAAACAAGACAGUCAUAUCAGCGUCAGUUCCAUGCUUGCUCAUGCAGACGCCAAAGUGAGCAAGGUAGAGACGCUGUACUACGCCGACAAGGAGACGACCGAAGGUUACAUAGCGGAGCUUGUUCUGGCUCUUCAUCUUCUUGUUUCGCCUACUGUCGAGAAAUAAUGAGUCCAAGAUGA